rnacentral:rRNA from 1 species
AGUGAACGCUGGCGGUAGGCCUAACACAUGCAAGUCGAACGGCAGCACAGUAAGCGCUUGCUCUUACGGGUGGCGAGUGGCGGACGGGUGAGGAAUACAUCGGAAUCUACUUUUUCGUGGGGGAUAACGUAGGGAAACUUACGCUAAUACCGCAUACGACCUACGGGUGAAAGCAGGGGAUCUUCGGACCUUGCGCGAUUGAAUGAGCCGAUGUCGGAUUAGCUAGUUGGCGGGGUAAAGGCCCACCAAGGCGACGAUCCGUAGCUGGUCUGAGAGGAUGAUCAGCCACACUGGAACUGAGACACGGUCCAGACUCCUACGGGAGGCAGCAGUGGGGAAUAUUGGACAAUGGGCGCAAGCCUGAUCCAGCAAUACCGCGUGGGUGAAGAAGGCCUUCGGGUUGUAAAGCCCUUUUGUUGGGAAAGAAAAGCAGCAGGUUAAUACACCGCUGUUUUGACGGUACCCAAAGAAUAAGCACCGGCUAACUUCGUG